GUCGCUCCCUUCACCGUGCCAUGGUUCGUCGGGAUACUACCUUCAGUCCCUUGAUCGCCCUCCUUAGUAGUAGUCCUCUUGCGAGGCGAAGUCAACAGCUGGACAAUUCUCUUUUUUGAGCUUACCCCCUUAAGCAAAAGGGGACCUCUCUGCUUUCGACCUGUUUCUUUGGCAUCCUCCGGAUCUUCACUUUGCGCUUCAGCUACUUUAUCUUGAUCUGUCUCUUCCAAACCUUCCUCGACACCAAACUGCUCGCUGGUUGUGUCUUCCAUUUCCUGAU
rnacentral:lncRNA from 1 species